UACGUAGGGCGCUAGCGUUGUUCGGAAUCAUUGGGCGUAAAGCGCGUGUAGGUGGUCAUCUAAGUCGAGUGUGAAAGCCCUGGGCUCAACCCGGGAAGUGCAUCCGAAACUAGUUGACUAGAAGACAUUAGAGGAAGGUGGAAUUCCAAGUGUAGAGGUGAAAUUCGUAGAUAUUUGGAGGAAUACCGGCGGCGAAGGCGGCCUUCUGGGAUGCUCUUGACACUGAGACGAGAAAGCGUGGGUAGCAAACAGG
rnacentral:rRNA from 1 species